rnacentral:rRNA from 1 species
UAUCUCUGUAGAGUCUGCAUAUCAAUAAGCGGAGGAAAAGAAACUAACAAGGAUUCCCUUAGUAACGGCGAGUGAAGCGGGAAGAGCUCAAAUUCGAAAUCUUCAAGGUUUUACCUUGACGAAUUGUAGUUUAAAGAAGUGUUUUCUGUUGAAGUUUCGGUAAAAGUUCUUUGGAAUAGGACAUCAUAGAGGGUGAGAAUCCCGUAUUUGACCAUUAUUUUCAGCUGUGUGAUACACUUUCAAAGAGUCGGAUUGUUUGGGAAUGCAGUCCAAAAUGGGUGGUAAAUUUCAUCUAAAGCUAAAUAUUGGCGAGAGACCGAUAGCGAACAAGUACCGUGAGGGAAAGAUGAAAAGAACUUUGAAAAGAGAGUUAAACAGUACGUGAAAUUGUCAAAAGGGAAGCGUUUGACACCGGUGUUGUUUUCUCGAAAAUCAAUUAAAAAUGGUGGGAUUUUGUGUUGUAUUGACUUUAUCAGCUUUCUGCACUUUUUUCCUAUCUUUUUUAAUGCACUUUUCGUUUAACAAGUCAACAUCAAUUUCUUUUGUUGUAAAAGGGUCAUUGGAAGGUGGCUUUCUUUUCGGAGAAAGUGUUUAUAGCCUUCGGCCUCUGCAAUCGGAGAGAUUGAGGUCUGCAGCGUAGAUCCUUCGGGGCUAGAUACAUUUGUGCUAAGUUAUAGCCUUUCAUAGACAACUUGUUGACUAUGAUUAGUCAUUGUAGCUUACUCGCUUAUGCUAUUUUACCUACGCUUAGGAUGUUGAUGUGAUACUGCGAGC